GUGCUUGCUUCAGCAGCACAUAUCCUAAAAUUGUAACAGUACAGAGAAGAUUAGCGUGGCCCCUGGGCAUAGACGACACGCAAAUUUGUGAAGCAUUACAUUUUUUA
ensembl:snRNA U6 U6 spliceosomal RNA